AUGGGUUCUAGAUUUCCAUCACAUCAGCUGAGCAAUGGCCUGUAUGUAUCUGGCCGACCUGAGCAACCUAAGGAGAAAGCCCCAACCAUUAGCUCCAAUUUGAUGCCGUACACUCAUGGUGACUUGAAGAAAUCUGGAGAGUUUGGGAAGAUGUUUGACCUCCAUGCUGACAAGUCCAGAAAAUCUGGUCCUCUGGGCAAUGCGCCUUCGAGUAAUACUUUAUUUGGGGGUGCUGCUUCCAACUCUGGACCUGUCUCUAAUGCUGGUGGCCGGUCAAACUACUCUGGUUCUCUUUCAUCUUCACUUCCUGGUGCUGGAGGAUCAGCAAGAGCAAAAUCUAACUCCGGACCAUUCAAUAAGCAUCGAGAACAAGCAAAGUGGUCAACCAGUCCCCAGUCUGGAGGUGUGACCCCAAUGGCUCGCCAGAAUUCUGGCCCUCUACCUCCAGUGCUUCCUACAACUGGGCUUAUCACAUCUGGCCCUCAUUCUUCCGGGCCACUGAAUUCGUCUGGUGCUCCAAGAAGAAAAGUAUCUGGAUCUCUUGAUUGUGCUGCAUCAAUGAAGGUGCAGGCUACAUCGCUUGCUCACAACCAGGCUGUUACUACUCUCACCACCGAAAGUAGUUUCUCAGUUAAGGGAAGCAUUUCGAAGUUGGUACUCUGUGGCAGGAGAGGCGUGCUCGGGUUUGUCAAUAGCUAUCCUGAUACUGAUCUCAUAACUGCAAAAGGUGGAGAGUAUGUGAAGGUUACAGGGGUUGUUACGUGUGGAAAUUUCCCACUGCAGUCCUCAUUUCAAAGGAUUCCGAGAUGUGUGUACACUUCAACUAGGCUGUAUGAGUAUAGGGGUUGGGAUUCAAAAAUUGCAAACCCCAAGCAUCGCCGGUUUACCUGGGGAUUACAGACAGCAGAGCGCUUUGCGGUAGAUUUCUACAUUUCCGAUUUUCAAUCUGGGCUUCGAGCAUUGGUGAGAACAGGAAGUGGUGCACGGGUGACACCAUAUGUCGAUGAACCGGUAGUAAUUGACAUCAAUCCUGAGAACAAGGACAUGUCUCCUGAAUUUCUAAGAUGGCUACGAGAAAGGAACCUCUCAAGUGAUGGUCGGAAAAUGCGCCUAAAAGAAGGAUACAUCAAGGAAGGAAGCACUGUGAGUGUGAUGGGGGUUGUUCAAAAGAGCGGGAGCAUGUUGAUGAUAGUACCUCCAUCGGAGCCUGUCUCAUCUGGUUGCCUGUGGGGGAAGUGCCUAUUCCCAUCGAACCUUGACGGACUAGUCUUGAGAUGUGAAGAUACUUCAGACAUGGAUGUCAUACCAGUAUAG
rnacentral:rRNA from 1 species